rnacentral:tRNA from 1 species
GUCUGCAUGGCUCAGUUGGUUAGAGCGCCGGUCUCAUACGUUCAUAUGAAUCCCUUCGUUGGGGUGUAAUCCGGAGAUCGCCAGUUCGAUCCUGGCUGCGGACA